UAUUUUUGCUGUUAAGUUACAAUACAGCAUUAGUCUCAAGUUGAAUACUUUUAAAGCAUUUUACAUCUUCACUUGAACAGAACUCCGUGGUGACCAUGAAACUACUAUUCCUACUGAUGUGCCUGAUUGGAAUUUGUUCCUCCAUUCCUGUGUCUGAGGAACAUGAUCGAGAGGAGCGCUCAGCCAGCAAUGAGAGGUACAGGGGUUAUGGGCGUGGUUUGGGAGGGUUUUACCCCUAUCAGCAGCCUCGGUACCCAUCCUACCUCCCUUAUGCGCAGCCUUCUCAAGGUAACUCUGCCUUGAUGGCCCUCCUGCCCUUCCUAUUGGCCAGCCUUGCCUCUGCUCCUGCCGCAACUCCUGCUGCAGCUCCAGCUCCAGCCCCGGCAGCGGGUGGAAAAUGAGACGGGCGUCGAUAGGGGAAGGAGAAAACUUGUUUAAAUCAAAUAUGUUGACAUUAGCUCCUGUUCAGAGCUGAUUAUUCCAUCAUUAAUAAAUGAAAUAAGUUAAGAU